rnacentral:rRNA from 1 species
AUUGAACGCUGGCGGCAGGCCUAACACAUGCAAGUCGAGCGGUAGAGAGAGGCUUGCUUCUCUUGAGAGCGGCGGACGGGUGAGUAAUGCCUAGGAAUCUGCCUGGUAGUGGGGGAUAACGUUCGGAAACGGACGCUAAUACCGCAUACGUCCUACGGGAGAAAGCAGGGGACCUUCGGGCCUUGCGCUAUCAGAUGAGCCUAGGUCGGAUUAGCUAGUUGGUGGGGUAAUGGCUCACCAAGGCGACGAUCCGUAACUGGUCUGAGAGGAUGAUCAGUCACACUGGAACUGAGACACGGUCCAGACUCCUACGGGAGGCAGCAGUGGGGAAUAUUGGACAAUGGGCGAAAGCCUGAUCCAGCCAUGCCGCGUGUGUGAAGAAGGUCUUCGGAUUGUAAAGCACUUUAAGUUGGGAGGAAGGGUUGUAGAUUAAUACUCUGCAAUUUUGACGUUACCGACAGAAUAAGCACCGGCUAACUCUGUG